UUGCACUAGGGUUUCAACUUCUUCACUACGCUUCCACCUCCCUCGUUCACAUUCUGCCUGCCUCCAUGAAGAAACCCUAGCUGCCUCCCUAUGAAGGAACACCACGAAAAAAGUAAAUUAAUUUAUUCAUCUUCUUUUUGUAUAAUUCAGUUCUAGAUCUAAAUGAAUCAAGUUUUUUUCUUUUCUUCAUCUGCCUUCUGUUCAUUCAAGCUCACAAUUGGGGGAAGAAAUUUUAGGGUUUGUUAAAGGAGAUGGUCAGAGCUCAGAACGAGGGCAAUGGAUUGGAAUUUAGGGUUCUUCGAUCUCGGUAAGAAAUUCUAGGGUUUCGAUCGAAAUAACGUUGGGUAAGGAAUUAUUUGGAUCGCUAUCUUCUCUAUUUAAGGUUAGGCUAGCGUUGAGAAAAUGGUAAAUAAGAUCACUAUCUUCGAUCUCUAAAGCUUAUGAAACCUAAUUCUUGCUCUUUAUUUCCUACUUAAAUAUUGUUUACGGUUGGAUGUGCCGAUUUAUUGUUGAUUUUGUUAAUAUUUCUUUAGAUUCUAACUGUUACAAUUCUAAAUAACAAUGGUUAUCCAAUAUUACGGUUGUUGAUUUGCAUUUCGCAGGUUUUAGGGUUUCGUGUUAACCAGGUAACUUCCUGGUCUGACUCAUUUGUGUUUCAUCAGGAUCCAAUAGGACUCAAGGCGCUUAAUCUAUCUGAAUGAACGAUUGAGGGAGAAAGCUCUUGAAAAGAAACCUAAAAUCUGGGACAUUUUGAAAGCUAAUGCAUCAUUCCAACAAAGCAUUAGUGAAAAAACCAUCCAAUCAGUUGCCAGAAUCAAGCUCUUGCUGCAAAGAAAAAAAAAUUAUUUGACGCAAAAGUCGUUAAUGUCUCUUGAAAUGGAGAGCCAACAAGCCACCGAGUUCAUUCCCGAGUUAGAGUUCACAUUUACUUAUCCCUUUUAGUCAAAGAAAGCAGUGCAGGUUGCGAGUCUAGCCAACAAGUGACUUUGAAGCUAAUCAUCAAUAGAAUGCUAGUGUAUUCCGAUCGAUAUUGUUAGGCUGGCUGGAGUUGAAGAUUUACUAAUUUUUGGCUAUCAAAAUAGCUGAACAAUAGGUUAAGUGGUAGAUGGGUUUCCGUGUUAAAUGUUCUAGGUCACAAUAGUUUGACCAGAAAAUUUAUAAUGUUUUGCUAUCCAUGGACUUUCACCAACAGUGAGAUGCUGGAAAAAUGGUACUCUCUUCUUAGUGGAGGAAUUGGUUGAUCCAAAUAAUACGUCUCAAAAAUUUCUAAAGCACUUGAUUGGUGGAGAAAGCGCAUUACUUCGUGGAGGUUUUUGGUUGAUAUGGAGAAUAACAGGGAGAAUGUAAAGUAACCUAAAAGAACGUAUAAGGUCGAAGCAAAAGAUGCAAGCGAACCGUUUUUGAAAGUCCAUGGACGUCUAUAGAUCUUUUACAUUUGGUUAUGAGUUCAUAUGCUUUCAUUAUUCGCUUUUAGACCUGGGUUGAAAUUACCAAGCAGUUU
rnacentral:lncRNA from 1 species